rnacentral:lncRNA from 1 species
UGAUAUAUUACUUUUUUCAAACAUGCAUGUGACAAAGUCAUGUGUGCACUUAUAUUAUUACGAUAAAAUUAACUGUAAAAAUCAAAGUAAAAUUGCCAAUUAAAUUAAUUUAUUACCUUUUUGACAUGCACAAAAGUCGUGAAAGAAGAGAAAUGUAGCAAGAGUAGCAACAAAUGACAGUCUCAAGCACCGAAGAUCCAUGAUUUGAUGAAAUAACAGCUCUCGGUGAGGCCUUUUGAUCAAUUAAUUAUACACACGCACACACAUAUAUAUAUAUAUAGGGGGAUUACUGUUGUCGAAUAAGAAGGCAACAAGCUUUGAUAUGGUGACGACAAAUUCUGCAUGCACAACGAUUUCUUGCUCACUUUGUCGGGAAAAUGAAAGCUAAAUUUCCUCAGAAGCGCACACAAAGAGUCAGAGAAAAUGCGAUGCCGCCAAGCCGGUGUCCGCGAAUUUUACACAAGCAACAUUGGAAUGAGCUACUAUUUAAUUUGCACAGAAUUGAGAGGUUGGAGAGAUAGAACUGAGUUUCAUUGAACAAAUGAAACUGAUGAAGCUCUAUUUAUUACUUCAGCUGAAUAUCAAGGUGCCUAUUUGUACAUGAAAUGAGACUAUGAGCGAGAGAAGCAGUCGAUACUUGUAAGUUGCGUGUGAGGGGGCUGAACCUUACAGAUGCUGUAAGGUAGCCCUCUCCUUUCACUAAGGCUACACCAACCAACUGAUACAACUCAUCACUAUUGCCAAUUAAUUACGCUUGAUAAUAUCUUCUAAUGCCUUGAUUUUUGGUACAUGUUUUUGGAAUUAAUGGAGAUUAUGAAAUUACGCCGACUGGUUGUACAAAAUUGUCUUGAUUUCUGGCCAUUAGAUUUUAUUGAUUAAUGAUAUUAGCAAACGGGAUACUUUUUAAUAAAACUCUCUUAUCAAUACUAUGAAGUAAUCUGAGUAUUUUAACUUGUUUUGAGCGUAAGUAUAUAAAUUGUGCCACUACAAAAUUGAUUUAGGAAAUUUUAAUAAAUAUUUCUAUUGUAAACAUCUGUAUGUAUGUCUGUAAUAUAAUAUUAGAAAAACCGAUAUAUGCAGACUUUGACAUCACAAAGUUAAUUAAGUUCUUAUAUAUAUAUAUAUAUAUAUGAUGGUAAACAUCAAUAUAUUUGUAAUGAAAAAUGAAAUAUAGGGGAAAAAUAAAAAUAUAAAUAUAAAUAUAAAAAGGUAUGGGGAAGAUAAGCUUAGGUUAAUGCGUGGGGUAGGGGGGACCGCAAGUUCAGCAUCAGUUGGAUGGAAUCUAAAUAAAUGAACUUCCCGGAAAUUUCAAGCAAUGCAUUGAUUACAAGCCACCAAUGUCUGUGGCUAAGAGUGUCACAAGAGCAUCUCCUCCUCCACGGGUAAAGAUCCUCUCCUUAUUUGAAUUUUUAUAAAUUUUUAAAAUUUUAUAUUAUAUGUGAUAAUGUAUAGAUAUAAUUUAACUUAUUUAUUUUGUUUUAUUAACUACUAAUCACAUAUAUAUAUUUUUACUUAGGAGAAGAUUAGAUCAUGAGAGAAUCUUGAUCCCUCCUCCACAGCCUGUGCUUUCGGUAGAUUAUACACAAUGAAAGCAGAACACGAUAAUUUCUCUGCUUGAUUAUGUGGUGCUUUUCCAUUUUUGAUUUCUUUGUUUAAUGUGCAGGUCUCGGUGCAUGUGCAAGAGAUCGUUAAAGAAUAUUUACUUCUAAAUGUAUAAUGUUGAAAGGAUUAGUAGUACAUAUAUAUAUCUUAAGAAAAAAGAAAUUAAGAACAUGUUAUUUUGGGUGUCUAGAUCUUAGCUGGUGCAAACAAAUAAAAGUUUCAUAUAAUUAACCAAAAAUGGGUCGAUAAAAGUGACAUUGGCAUGACGAGAAGCUUUUGAUUAGUGUCAACGCACUCUCCACCAGAAAUGGCUGCAAAAGUGACAAUUAAUAUUUCUAUUACUUUAACAUUACAUUUAUUUUUGGGAUCAUCUUUUGCGGCGACUUACGUGCCCAUUCUGAAAUGACACACCUCUGGAACACCAUAUAAUUAUUUACUCGUUCUCUUUGAGGAUGAGAUGGUCUUGUCGUUAUCAAAAUUAUGAUGGGUCAAUUUGAGAGUAAGAGUGUGUAAUAAAAUUCUUUGAAGACACUGUUAAGUCUUUUAUAUACUAGAAAGCACAUAGAUACGUCAUACACUGUAUAAUGUUGUUCGGUACUCAUAAAUUUUCAUUCAUGACCCUUAAAAUAUUGAUGAUGUAUUAUAUAUGAAUUUACAAUCUAAAAAUUUAGCGUGUCAACAAUAAUAAAAUUUUGGGCAUAUAACCAGAUUUUUUAGGAUGUAGUGAGGGCACUGCACCAAACUUAGGAUACCAUAUUUCUCAAAUAAAGAUUUUAUUUUAUUUUUUAAAAAAAAAUUGAGUAACAUAAAACUUUGCAUUUUCCGAAAAUAAAACCACCUUCAAACUCACUUUCCAUAAAUGUAGUUUAUUAACUUUUAUUUAUUUAUUACAAAUUCAAUAAAACUCACAAAAUUCAAAUAUUCCCUUUUAUUAUUAUUUUUUUUAAAAGUUCAAAUCAACGAAAAAAAAAAAUCAAAUUAACAUAUAUAUAUGAUGAUGAUUGACAUUACUUUGAACCGUUACUUGCAAGUCUCUCACUCAGAAUCCUGACUCCCAUGUACCUGCAACAUAUCAUAACACAACAAAUUAAUUAAACCUCACAGAAACUUACCAAAAUCUUGCUUACGUAUUUGCUUGUGGUCAGGUUAACGUACCUUCCAAGCAUCAUGACCGUUGCUUGCGGAUUAGUCCCCGGGGAGUAAUAAAACGUGGAUCCGUCGAUGACCCUCAAUGCAUCGACCCCAAGAACCUUAUAAUCAUGAUCAACAACCUUACCAACUUGGCAACCUCCAUGAUAAUGCCAUAUGGUCAUCACUGUGUCCCUGCAAAAUUGUUCCAGUGAUGUUGAUGCAUUGCUGUGUCUGGGCAGCAAAUUGACCGGGGCACUGGCAGUCAUGUUUACCAGUGUUGGCACUGACAUACUCUCGUAUUUAAACUUAGAAAAAGAUUUUGAUUCAAUUAUUUUCUCUAUGGUUGAAAUGCCCUGUACACAUCUUUGUAAGUCUUCAGGUUCCUUGAAGUAAUUGAACGUGACGGACGGGUUAUCGUUCGGGUUUCGGGUUCGGAGCUCCAAAUGUCCCGUGGAUACUGGGCCCAUAACCUUUUCGAGAAUGAAUCCGCCUCUGAAAGCUGGAUCAUCAAGUGCUUUCAUGUUUUCAAUUGCUUCGGCUAUAGCCUCUGGGGUCCUUUGUUUGGGAGGCACUUUAGACAGCUGUCCAAUCUGCAUAUGCCAACAAAUAUUUUUGGAAAAAUCAGCGUAAUGUACCAUUUUACCCUCAAUCAUGCAGGAGUUGAGGGUUCUUGAGGAAGCAGAUGAGGGCUAUUUAUAUUUAACACACUGGACUUCAAAUGAAAUUACGUAAAGGCCUGUUUACAAACGAAUUACUUUGCUACAAGGCUAGCAUCAAAAGGGGAUGAAUACUUGUACCUUGGGAGAGAACAUGCCAUAGUCUCUUGGCGAUGGCGACCCACCGGCGAAGUUUUCGCCACUUGCGGCUUCUAUGUAGCUUCCAAACUGGGUAAUUCCGACGACCUGGAUGAGGGAAACCUCCACCGGAACAGGGGACGGUACAAAAAUGGCAUUCAUGGGAUUAUCAGACAUCCCCUGACCAACCAAGGGCUGGUCCAACACAACCGUGAUGUUAUGGGCCUUGAGCUGGUCUGCUGGGCCCACUCCACUCAACAUUAAAAGUUGUGGGCUUCCCAGUGCUCCAGCUGACACGAUGAUCUCAUUCUUAGGCCCAUUCUUGAGAUAUGCUCUGUGUUUGGCUCCUGUUGCAUCUCUGAAGACAACUCCAUGGGCCACUGGCCUUGCCUUUCCUGUUUAAGACUCGAAUGUCAAUCAAUAGUGAAAACCAAACCACUUGGUCAAUCUCUUACGUGUCACAUUCGCAUACCUUUAAUUCUGAACAGAACCUUAUGCACGGAGGCAUGCAAGAGCAAAGUGAGGCCACUGGGAUUAGCAUACUCCAGCAAAUCAGCAGCUGUGUGUCUUUGGCCAUUUUGAUCAAAUAUUGUCCCACCAAUCUUCGUGCCAUACAUAUGAUCGUAAGUGAAGCCAUUGUACGGCAACACCCCUACCUCUACCAGCCCAUCUCUGACGGCCGACUGCCACUGCCGCAUCGGCGGCUCGAAUGCCACCACCUUCUCCACCCACUGGUACGAUUCAUUCACCAAACGUUCAUCCCACCCCACUUCUCUAAUUUACCAAAAGUAAAUAAAAUCAGGAAAAAAAAGUCAGUUCAGUAAAAUUAGGGUUUAAAUUGAAGUUUAGCUCGUCUGUGAUAAUUUUAUACUUGAGGCCCCCUUGUAUCUUAAAUUACUAAAUAAUGACCCUCUAAAGGUUGGCGUUUCUGCAUUGCUUCCCCCACCGAAUGGUAUUCACAAGCAUUACUACCAGUCAGUUACCUGACAUAAUAAGGAGCAGCGCGUGUGUAGAAGCCGGCAUUGAGGCAACUGCCACCUCCCAAAACGCGGGCACGGGAAUUGAUGACGCCAUCUUCGGAGAUGAAGCGCUGCGAGGGAGAGGUUGAUGAGAGAUCAGAGAGUGCAGCGCCAAAAGAACCCAAGUUGGUGAUGUUGGGGUUUCCGUACGGCGAGCCACCGCGUUCAAGUAGCAACACGGAGGCGUUUUGCGAGAGUGUGGCGGCUAACGGGCAGCCGGCGGUGCCACCUCCGAUGAUGAUGUAGUCGUAGUAGGACACUGGUUGUGCCGCAGUUGCAUUGUGCAUGAAACUGUAGUUCGGAGCUGCUGUGUACACAAAAAGGGACGUAUAUAAUAUGGGGAUCAUAUAUUACGUUUUCCAAACAUGCAUGUGACAAAGUCAUGUGUGCACAUAUAUUAUUAGGAUCAAAUUAACCGUAAAAUUGCCAAUUAAAUAAAUUUACUACCUUUUUGACAGGCACAAAAGUCAUGAAAGAAGAGAAAUGUAGCAAGAGUAGCAACAAAUGACAAUCUCAAGCACCCAAGAUCCAUGAUUUCAUGAAAUAACAGCUCUCGCUGAGGCCUUUUGAUCAAUUAAUUCUACACACACACACACAUAUAUAUAUAUAGGGGGAUUGCUGUUGUCGAAUAAGAAGGCAACAAGCUCUGAUACGGUGACGACAAAUUCUGCAUGCACAAAGGUUUCUUGCUCACUUUGUCGGGAAAAUGGAAGCUAAAUUUCCUCCGAAGCGCACACAAAGAUUCAGAGGAAAUGCGGUGCCGCCAAGCCGGUGUCAGCGAAGUUUAUACAAGC